AUGCACACACAACACAACACAACGCACACACGCAACACCCGCUCCUCCUCCUCCUCCUCCCCUGGGUGGCACUGCCGGGCUGGGAGUUCGCCUGUUGGUGGUGGUGGUGGUGUUGUUGCGGUUGUUGUUGGUUGGAGCGACAAUAGAACAGUGUUAACGCGGCUCAACAGUCGGCAGCAACAACCGACCAACCUCCAACCACCAAACCAGCCAAACCGAGCGAGUGACCACCGGCAUGACAACAGGCGCACACACACACAACACACACACAACACACACACAACACACACACAACACCCGCUCCUCCUCCUCCUCCCCUGGGUGGCACCGCCGGGCUGGGAGUUCGCCUGUUGGCAGUGGUGGUGGUGGUGGUGUUGCUUUUGUUGCUGUGGUUGCUGUGGUUGUUGUUGGUUGGACUCCAACCACCAAACCGGACUCCACUCCAAACCGGAGUGCCAACCAAUGGCAAGACAACAGGCACACACACACACACAACACAACACAACACACACACACAACACCCGCUCCUCCUCCUCCUCCUCCCCCGGGUGGCACCGCUGGGCUGGGAGUUCGCCUGUUGGCGGCGGCGGUGGUGGUGGUGGUGGUGGUGUUGUGGUUGUUGUUGGUUGGAGUGACAAUAAACCAGCGUUAACACGGCCCCACUUGCAACAGGCGGCGGCAACAACCGACUGACCUCCAACCACCACCAACCACUGAACUGAACUGGAGUGCCAACCAACGGCACAACAGGCACACACACACACAACACACAACACACACACAACACACACUCCUCCUCCUCCUCCUUCCCUGGGUGGCACUGCCGGGCUGGGAGUUCACCUGUUGGCGGUGGUGGUGGUGGUGGUGGUGUUGUUUGGUUGUUGCUGGUUGGAGUAAUAAUCAAGCAGCGUUAACGCGGCCCCACUCGCAACAGGCGGCGGCAACAACUGAAAGACUGAUCUCCAACCACCGCCAACCACCGAACCAAACUGGAGUGCCAACCACCAGCAUGACAACAGGCACACACACACACACAACACAACACAACACACACACGCAACACCCGCUCCUCCUCCUCCUCCUCCCCCGGGUGGCACCGCCGGGCUGGGAGUUCGCCUGUUGGCGGCGGCGGUGGUGGUGGUGGUGGUGGUGUUGUGGUUGUUGUUGGUUGGAGUGACAAUAAACCAGCGUUAAC
rnacentral:lncRNA from 1 species